UGGUUUGAACCAUAACUCUAACUGUUUAAUCACACCCCUAGUAGGAGUCAAAGUUCUGAUAUCUCACUCGCUAGACGGUCUGUGCAGGUGGGCUGUGGCGUUGUGCUUUCUGCUCCCACCACCAACCCAUCAGAAAGCAUGAAAUUCACAGACUCACCGGUGAUCGACCUCCCCGUCAGCAACACCAAUCUCUCUCUCCAACAAGACAAUGGCUCCAUGCACGUCGGCACCUCCGUAUGGGCCGGUUCCCUUGUCCUCGUCAAAUUCGCCGACCGCUGGUCCCCCUCAAACCCCAGAAACCCGAACCCGAACCCGUACUCCGACCUUCUUGAUUUCCGCGCCAAACGCGGUAUCGAACUGGGCACAGGAUGCGGCGUCGCUGGAAUGGGCCUCUACCUCUUGGGCUUAACCGAUGUUAUCCUCACCGACAUAGCCCCAGUCAUGCCAGCCCUAAAGCACAACUUAAGAAAGAACAAGCCCGUGCUGAAGAAGUCCCUCAAGACAGCCCAGUUGUACUGGGCCAACUCGGCCCAAAUGAAGGCCCUCUCGCCUCCCUUUGAUGUUGUUGUGGCUACUGAUGUGGUGUACUUGGAGGAGACGGUGCGGCCAUUGGUGCAAACGAUGCUUGAAAUGAUGGCGGAAGACGGGGUUGUAUUGCUUGGGUAUCAGUUGAGGUCGCCUGAAGCUGAUGAGUUGUUCUGGAAACUUUGUAGGGAGUUUUUUCAAAUUGAGAAGGUGCCGCGUGAGGAUUUGCAUCCUGAGUAUAAUUAUGAGGAGACUGAUGUUUAUAUUUUCAGGAAAAACAAGACUUCAAUUGUAGCCGGAAUACCAGCUGUUGAUAAGGAGAGUACUUCUUCUUGAACGAGAGCUUAAAAAGAACGUUCCUGCUACGGUGUGCAGGUUGACUCAGGUAGAUUGCCUGAAAUUCUUCUGUAGAUAGCAUUCUGCUAGUUGAUCAGCAAUUGUUUUAUUGCGAAAAUCUCUUUGGAUUAUUACAAGAUUUGACUGCUGAUGUAGUUUGAGGAAAAGGGAGUUCGGGAAAUAAGUCAGGAGUCUUCUUAGUCCUUGCACCUAUAAUUAUGUUCAUUUUUAGGCGCAGAAGAUGUGCCUGUUGAUUGAGAAGCUAUCGAGGACAGCAAAAUGGAAACAUAGCUGUUGAAGCACUUCCUUUGGUAUUGCUAUUGCUUUUUUGCUCAAACGAAAUGAUAGAGGAAUGACUGUAACAUUCACCCAAUUCGUUUCUUGGACUCGGGUUUGAUACACGUCCGUUUAUCUUCAAAAUGGAUCCACAUUGUCUAGGCUGUGUUUGAUAGAAGACUUUAGAGACUACUAUUUCCCCAUCUUUUUCUUCCUCAUCGACACCCAAGUGAUAUUGAUGCAUUACCCAGUUAGUCUUUUGAGGUUUUUUCUGCUUGCCAUAGUUUGUGUAGAGCACUAAUAUCUUCUUGUAGCCUCUUACUCUACCAUCGUUGAGGACUGGUCGGGUCUUGCCUGUUUUGUGCCACCGGGUUUCGCUGCCAUCAUCGUCUGUAUGGACUUUCCUUCUCUUUCUUGUCCCUGUUGUGUAUGCUUUGGAAGGCCGGUGGAAGAAGUGACGAACUUGUCCGUCUUUUCUUACUCCUGCAAGAUGUUUAUAUUAAAUUAUGCUACAUCAUCUACUAUCUUUCUUGUGUGACAUUGACACAUGGCUCGGUAGAAAUUGGAGGGCUGUGAGCGAUUUCUUCCUUCUUUGCUUAAUUUCCUGUCCGACACACUAAUAGAAAUCCUCUUAACUACCUCCAAGACUUUGAAAACAAUACCACAGAAAACUUGUGUUCCUUGUCAUAGAUUAUCACUUGUCAAGCAAAUUGUUAAUUGUAAUUACUCCCUCUGUUCUAAUUUAUCAUGCUUGUAUGCCAUUUUGGGUGUAUGAAAAUGUUCUUAUUGCUAUUUUUGAAAUGGUACUUUGUUCCAAAA